ACCAUCCUAAGGUAGCGAAAUUCCUUGUCGGGUAAGUUCCGACCUGCACGAAUGGAGUAACGACUUCCCUACUGUCUCAACCAUGAACUCGGUGAAAUUGCAGUACGAGUAAAGAUGCUCGUUUCGCGCAGCAGGACGGAAAGACCCCGUGACCUUUACUAUAGUUUGGUAUUGGUGUUUGGUUUGGCUUGUGUAGGAUAGGUGGGAGACUGUGAAGCAUGGACGCUAGUUUGUGUGGAGUCGUUGUUGAAAUACCACUCUGGUCAAUCUGGAUGUCUAACUUCGGGCCAUGAUCUGGUUCAGGGACAGUGCCUGAUGGGUAGUUUAACUGGGGCGGUUGCCUCCUAAAGUGUAACGGAGGCGCCCAAAGGUUCCCUCAGCCUGGUUGGCAAUCAGGUGUUGAGUGUAAGUGCACAAGGGAGCUUGACUGUGAGACUGGCAGGUCGAGCAGGGACGAAAGUCGGGACUAGUGAUCCGGCGGUACGUUGUGGAACGGCCGUCGCUCAACGGAUAAAAGGUACCUCGGGGAUAACAGGCUGAUCUUGCCCAAGAGUCCAUAUCGACGGCAUGGUUUGGCACCUCGAUGUCGGCUCGUCGCAUCCUGGGGCUGGAGUCGGUCCCAAGGGUUGGGCUGUUCGCCCAUUAAAGCGGUACGCGAGCUGGGUUCAGAACGUCGUGAGACAGUUCGGUCCCUAUCCGCUGCGCGCGUUGGAAAUUUGAGAAAGGCUGUCCUUAGUACGAGAGGACCGGGACGGACGAACCUCUGGUAUGUCAGUUGUACCGCCAGGUGCAUGGCUGAUUGGCUACGUUCGGGAGGGAUAACCGCUGAAAGCAUCUAAGCGGGAAGCCUGUUUCGAGAUGAGUUCUCCUGGCACUCUUUGUGGUGUGUGAGGCUCCUUAGAGAUGAUGAGGUUGAUAGGCCGGGUAUGGAAGCGUUGUAAGGCGUGGAGUUGACUGGUACUAAUAGGCCGAAGACUUAUUCAC
rnacentral:rRNA from 1 species